GAUGAACGCUGGCGGCGUGCCUAAUACAUGCAAGUCGAGCGAACGGACGAGAAGCUUGCUUCUCUGAUGUUAGCGGCGGACGGGUGAGUAACACGUGGAUAACCUACCUAUAAGACUGGGAUAACUUCGGGAAACCGGAGCUAAUACCGGAUGAUAUUUUGAACCGCAUGGUCCAAAAGUGAAAGACGGUCUUGCUGUCACUUAUAGAUGGAUCCGCGCUGCAUUAGCUAGUUGGUAAGGUAACGGCUUACCAAGGCAACGAUGCAUAGCCGACCUGAGAGGGUGAUCGGCCACACUGGAACUGAGACACGGUCCAGACUCCUACGGGAGGCAGCAGUAGGGAAUCUUCCGCAAUGGGCGAAAGCCUGACGGAGCAACGCCGCGUGAGUGAUGAAGGUCUUCGGAUCGUAAAACUCUGUUAUUAGGGAAUAACAUAUGUGUAAGUAACUGUGCACAUCUUGACGGUACCUAAUCAGAAAGCCACGGCUAACUACGUG
rnacentral:rRNA from 1 species